rnacentral:rRNA from 1 species
GAUGAACGCUGGCGGCGUGCCUAAUACAUGCAAGUCGAACGCAUAGCGAAAGGUGCUUGCACCUUUCAAGUGAGUGGCGAACGGGUGAGUAACACGUGGACAACCUGCCUCAAGGCUGGGGAUAACAUUUGGAAACAGAUGCUAAUACCGAAUAAAACUUAGUGUCGCAUGACACAAAGUUAAAAGGCGCUUCGGCGUCACCUAGCGAUGGAUCCGCGGUGCAUUAGUUAGUUGGUGGGGUAAAGGCCUACCAAGACAAUGAUGCAUAGCCGAGUUGAGAGACUGAUCGGCCACAUUGGGACUGAGACACGGCCCAAACUCCUACGGGAGGCUGCAGUAGGGAAUCUUCCACAAUGGGCGAAAGCCUGAUGGAGCAACGCCGCGUGUGUGAUGAAGGCUUUCGGGUCGUAAAGCACUGUUGUAUGGGAAGAACAGCUAGAAUAGGAAAUGAUUUUAGUUUGACGGUACCAUACCAGAAAGGGACGGCUAAAUACGUG